UACAGAGGGGGCAAGCGUUGUUCGGAAUUACUGGGCGUAAAGGGCGCGUAGGUGGCCUUCUAAGUUGAACGUAAAAUCCCUGGGCUCAACCCAGGAACUGCGUCCAAGACUGGGAGGCUUGAAUCCGGGAGAGGGAUGCGGAAUUCCAGGUGUAGCGGUGAAAUGCGUAGAUAUCUGGAGGAACACCGGUGGCGAAGGCGGCAUCCUGGACCGGUAUUGACACUGAGGCGCGAAAGCCAGGGGAGCAAACAGG
rnacentral:rRNA from 1 species